rnacentral:rRNA from 1 species
CAGUCGAACGAAGCACUUUAAUUGAUUUCUUCGGAAUGAAGUUUUUGUGACUGAGUGGCGGACGGGUGAGUAACGCGUGGGUAACCUGCCUCAUACAGGGGGAUAACAGUUGGAAACGACUGCUAAUACCGCAUAAGCGCACAGGAUUGCAUGAUCCAGUGUGAAAAACUCCGGUGGUAUGAGAUGGACCCGCGUCUGAUUAGCCAGUUGGCGGGGUAACGGCCCACCAAAGCGACGAUCAGUAGCCGACCUGAGAGGGUGACCGGCCACAUUGGGACUGAGACACGGCCCAAACUCCUACGGGAGGCAGCAGUGGGGAAUAUUGCACAAUGGGGGAAACCCUGAUGCAGCGACGCCGCGUGAGCGAAGAAGUAUUUCGGUAUGUAAAGCUCUAUCAGCAGGGAAGAAGAAUGACGGUACCUGACUAAGAAGCACCGGCUAAAUACGUGCCAGCAGCCGCGGUAAUACGUAUGGUGCAAGCGUUAUCCGGAUUUACUGGGUGUAAAGGGAGCGCAGGCGGUACGGCAAGUCUGAUGUGAAAUCCCGGGGCUCAACCCCGGUACUGCAUUGGAAACUGUCGGACUAGAGUGUCGGAGGGGUAAGUGGAAUUCCUAGUGUAGCGGUGAAAUGCGUAGAUAUUAGGAGGAACACCAGUGGCGAAGGCGGCUUACUGGACUGACAAUGACGC